GAUGAACGCUGGCGGCGUGCCUAAUACAUGCAAGUCGAGCGAACAGACGAGGAGCUUGCUCCUCUGACGUUAGCGGCGGACGGGUGAGUAACACGUGGAUAACCUACCUAUAAGACUGGGAUAACUUCGGGAAACCGGAGCUAAUACCGGAUAAUAUAUUGAACCGCAUGGUUCAAUAGUGAAAGACGGUUUUGCUGUCACUUAUAGAUGGAUCCGCGCCGCAUUAGCUAGUUGGUAAGGUAACGGCUUACCAAGGCAACGAUGCGUAGCCGACCUGAGAGGGGGAUCGGCCACAAUGGAACUGAGACACGGUCCAGACUCCUACGGGAGGCAGCAGUAGGGAAUCUUCCGCAAUGGGCGAAAGCCUGACGGAGCAACGCCGCGUGAGUGAUGAAGGUCUUCGGAUCGUAAAGCUCUGUUAUUAGGGAAGAACAAAUGUGUAAGUAACUAUGCACGUCUUGACGGUACCUAAUCAGAAAGCCACGGCUAACUACGUG
rnacentral:rRNA from 1 species